rnacentral:rRNA from 1 species
CUUAGGGCAAUCUGCCCUUGAGAGGGAAACAACCGGCCGAAAGGCUGGCUAAUGUCCCAUAAGACCACGGGAUGGCAUCAUCCAGGGGUCAAAGCUCCGCAAGGGGCGCUUGAGGAGGAGCCCGAGUCCUAUCAUGGUAGUUGGUGAGGUAACGGCUCACCAAGCCUUUGACGGGUAGCCGGCCUGAAAGGGUGAUCGGCCACACUGGCACUGAGACACGGGCCAG